CCUACGGGUGGCAGCAGUGGGGAAUAUUGGACAAUGGGGGGAACCCUGAUCCAGCCAUGCCGCGUGUGUGAAGAAGGCCCUCGGGUUGUAAAGCACUUUCAGUGAGGAAGAACGCCUGGUGGUUAAUACCCAUCAGGAAAGACAUCACUCACAGAAGAAGCACCGGCUAACUCCGUGCCAGCAGCCGCGGUAAUACGGAGGGUGCGAGCGUUAAUCGGAAUUACUGGGCGUAAAGCGCGCGUAGGUGGCUUGAUAAGCCGGUUGUGAAAGCCCCGGGCUCAACCUGGGAACGGCAUCCGGAACUGUCAAGCUAGAGUGCAGGAGAGGAAGGUAGAAUUCCCGGUGUAGCGGUGAAAUGCGUAGAGAUCGGGAGGAAUACCAGUGGUGAAGGCGGCCUUCUGGACUGACACUGACACUGAGGUGCGAAAGCGUGGGUAGCAAACAGGAUUAGAUACCCUGGUAGUC
rnacentral:rRNA from 1 species